rnacentral:rRNA from 1 species
AUUAACGCUAGCGGCAGGCAUAAUACAUGCAAGUUGAACGGCAGCACAGGUAGCAAUACUGGGUGGCGAGCGGCGCACGGGUGCGUAACACGUAUGCAACCUACCCUAUACAGGCGAAUAACCUUUAGAAAUGAGGGCUAAUACGCCGUAGUAUUACAGAUGGGCAUCUAUUUGUAAUUAAAGAUUUAUCGGUAUAGGAUGGGCAUGCGCCCAUUAGUUAGUUGGUAAGGUAGCGGCUUACCAAGACGAUGAUGGGUAGGGG